rnacentral:rRNA from 1 species
AUCCUACGGGAGGCAGCAGUGGGGAAUAUUGCACAAUGGGGGAAACCCUGAUGCAGCGAGGCCGCGUGAGCGAGGAAGUACCUCGGUAUGUAAAGCUCUAUCAGCAGGGAAGAAAGUGACAGUACCUGACUAAGAAGCCCCGGCUAACUACAUGCAAGCAGCCGCGGUAAUACGUAGGGGGCAAGCGUUAUCCGGAUUCACUAGGCGUAAAGGGAGCGCAGACGGCACGGCAAGUCUGAUGUGAAAACCAA